UAUAAGACUGGGAUAACUUCGGGAAACCGGAGCUAAUACCGGAUAACAUUUAGAACCGCAUGGUUCUAAAGUGAAAGAUGGUUUUGCUAUCACUUAUAGAUGGACCCGCGCCGUAUUAGCUAGUUGGUAAGGUAACGGCUUACCAAGGCGACGAUACGUAGCCGACCUGAGAGGGUGAUCGGCCACACUGGAACUGAGACACGGUCCAGACUCCUACGGGAGGCAGCAGUAGGGAAUCUUCCGCAAUGGGCGAAAGCCUGACGGAGCAACGCCGCGUGAGUGAUGAAGGGUUUCGGCUCGUAAAACUCUGUUAUUAGGGAAGAACAAAUGUGUAAGUAACUGUGCACAUCUUGACGGUACCUAAUCAGAAAGCCACGGCUAACUACGUGCCAGCAGCCGCGGUAAUACGUAGGUGGCAAGCGUUAUCCGGAAUUAUUGGGCGUAAAGCGCGCGUAGGCGGUUUCUUAAGUCUGAUGUGAAAGCCCACGGCUCAACCGUGGAGGGUCAUUGGAAACUGGGAAACUUGAGUGCAGAAGAGGAAAGUGGAAUUCCAUGUGUAGCGGUGAAAUGCGCAGAGAUGUGGAGGAACACCAGUGGCGAAGGCGACUUUCUGGUCUGUAACUGACGCUGAUGUGCGAAAGCGUGGGGAUCAAACAGGAUUAGAUACCCUGGUAGUCCACGCCGUAAACGAUGAGUGCUAAGUGUUAGGGGGUUUCCGCCCCUUAGUGCUGCAGCUAACGCAUUAAGCACUCCGCCUGGGGAGUACGACCGCAAGGUUGAAACUCAAG
rnacentral:rRNA from 1 species